UUUCUUUCCAACCAGCUUGGAUGAACUGUAGUAUCUGUUCUUGUUCCGCUUGAUCGGCGAACAGGCACCUACGAGGUGCCGUUACAAUCAAGACCAAUUUUUUUUACUCUGGGGGAUUCUGGCUUGAGCUCGCCUUGGGCUGGACGUUCCUGCGCAUGUCUCUGGUCUUACACUGUCUCCAGAUGACGUGCAUUUACC
rnacentral:snRNA from 1 species